rnacentral:rRNA from 1 species
ACGGAGGAUGCAAGUGUUAUCCGGAAUCACUGGGCGUAAAGCGUCUGUAGGUGGUCCAAUAAGUCAACUGUUAAAUCUUGAGGCUUAACCUCAAAAUCGCAGUCGAAACUGUUAGACUAGAGUAUAGUAGGGGUAAAGGGAAUUUCCAGUGGAGCGGUGAAAUGCGUAGAUAUUGGAAGGAACACCGAUGGCGAAGGCACUUUACUGGGCUAUUACUAACACUCAGAGACGAAAGCUAGGGUAGCAAAUGGGAUUAGAUACCCCAGUAGUCCUAGCUGUAAACCAUGGAUACUAGAUGUUGAACAGAUCGACCUGUGCAGUAUCAAAGCUAACGCGUUAAGUAUCCCGCCUGGGAAGUAUGCUCGCAAGAGUG